CCUGCUCCAACCAAUGGUUCAGCCACCACAUGUUGAAUGUCGUGAGGAAGAUGAACACCAACAUGAGAAGGAAAACCAUGACAGAGACCAAGUAACCUGAGAGGGAGAGGGAGGAGUCACACAGGUGACAUAAGCAGAUUUUCCCAUCUUCUAGCAAAAUGAUCUCGUCACAAAACUCUAAAUACUGAACAGUAAGAAGAAAUAAAGUCUUCAGUAAGCAUACGAAAAGAUGUUCAACCUAACUCUUCAAAAGGAAAAUGCAAAUUUAAAUCAUGUUCAAAUAUUAUUGAUACCACCCGGUUAGAAAAGUUUAAACAUUGGGCAACCCCAAGUGUCGGCGACGAUGGAGGUGAAGAGAAUUUUCACAAAAUGGGGGCGGAUGGAGGAGGGGGGUGUAGAUUGGUACAACUACUUGGAAAACAAUUUGACAGUAUCUAGCAAAAUUAAAGAUUUUGAAGAAUUAUGAACCAACAAUUCAACUCCUAAAAUUUCACCCUGAAAAAGCUCUUGAACAAGUGCAAGAAGACACAUGUAGAAGGAUGCACACUGGAGAAUUUUUUGUAAAAGUGAAAAAUGGUAAAAAAAAAAAAA